CCCUUUUGGGUGUGACUGCGUACCUUUUGUAUAAUGGGUCAGCGACUUAUAUUCUGUAGCAAGGUUAACCGAAUAGGGGAGCCGGAGGGAAACCGAGUCUUAACCGGGCGUUAAGUUGCAGGGUAUAGACCCGAAACCCGGUGAUCUAGCCAUGGGCAGGUUGAAGGUUGGGUAACACUAACUGGAGGACCGAACCGACUAAUGUUGAAAAAUUAGCGGAUGACCUGUGGCUGGGGGUGAAAGGCCAAUCAAACCGGGAGAUAGCUGGUUCUCCCCGAAAGCUAUUUAGGUAGCGCCUCGUGAAUUCAUCUCCGGGGGUAGAGCACUGUUUCGGCUAGGGGGCCAUCCCGGCUUACCAACCCGAUGCAAACUGCGAAUACCGGAGAAUGUUAUCACGGGAGACACACGGCGGGUGCUAACGUCCGUCGUGAAGAGGGAAACAACCCAGACCGCCAGCUAAGGUCCCAAAGUCAUGGUUAAGUGGGAAACGAUGUGGGAAGGCCCAGACAGCCAGGAUGUUGGCUUAGAAGCAGCCAUCAUUUAAAGAAAGCGUAAUAGCUCACUGGUCGAGUCGGCCUGCGCGGAAGAUGUAACGGGGCUAAACCAUGCACCGAAGCUGCGGCAGCGACACUCAGGUGUUGUUGGGUAGGGGAGCGUUCUGUAAGCCUGCGAAGGUGGCCUGUGAGGGUUGCUGGAGGUAUCAGAAGUGCGAAUGCUGACAUAAGUAACGAUAAAGCGGGUGAAAAGCCCGCUCGCCGGAAGACCAAGGGUUCCUGUCCAACGUUAAUCGGGGCAGGGUGAGUCGACCCCUAAGGCGAGGCCGAAAGGCGUAGUCGAUGGGAAACGGGUUAAUAUUCCCGUACUUGGUGUUACUGCGAAGGGGGGACGGAGAAGGCUAUGUUGGCCGGGCGACGGUUGUCCCGGUUUAAGCGUGUAGGUGUGUGUUCCAGGUAAAUCCGGUUCACUUUAACACUGAGGCGUGAUGACGAGGCACUACGGUGCUGAAGCAACAAAUGCCCUGCUUCCAGGAAAAGCCUCUAAGCAUCAGGUAACAUCAAAUCGUACCCCAAACCGACACAGGUGGUCAGGUAGAGAAUACCAAGGCGCUUGAGAGAACUCGGGUGAAGGAACUAGGCAAAAUGGUGCCGUAACUUCGGGAGAAGGCACGCUGACACGUAGGUGAAGUGAUUUACUCAUGGAGCUGAAGUCAGUCGAAGAUACCAGCUGGCUGCAACUGUUUAUUAAAAACACAGCACUGUGCAAACACGAAAGUGGACGUAUACGGUGUGACGCCUGCCCGGUGCCGGAAGGUUAAUUGAUGGGGUCAGCGCAAGCGAAGCUCCUGAUCGAAGCCCCGGUAAACGGCGGCCGUAACUAUAACGGUCCUAAGGUAGCGAAAUUCCUUGUCGGGUAAGUUCCGACCUGCACGAAUGGCGUAAUGAUGGCCAGGCUGUCUCCACCCGAGACUCAGUGAAAUUGAACUCGCUGUGAAGAUGCAGUGUACCCGCGGCAAGACGGAAAGACCCCGUGAACCUUUACUAUAGCUUGACACUGAACAUUGAGCCUUGAUGUGUAGGAUAGGUGGGAGGCUUUGAAGUGUGGACGCCAGUCUGCAUGGAGCCGACCUUGAAAUACCACCCUUUAAUGUUUGAUGUUCUAACGUGGACCCGUGAUCCGGGUUGCGGACAGUGUCUGGUGGGUAGUUUGACUGGGGCGGUCUCCUCCUAAAGAGUAACGGAGGAGCACGAAGGUUGGCUAAUCCUGGUCGGACAUCAGGAGGUUAGUGCAAUGGCAUAAGCCAGCUUGACUGCGAGCGUGACGGCGCGAGCAGGUGCGAAAGCAGGUCAUAGUGAUCCGGUGGUUCUGAAUGGAAGGGCCAUCGCUCAACGGAUAAAAGGUACUCCGGGGAUAACAGGCUGAUACCGCCCAAGAGUUCAUAUCGACGGCGGUGUUUGGCACCUCGAUGUCGGCUCAUCACAUCCUGGGGCUGAAGUAGGUCCCAAGGGUAUGGCUGUUCGCCAUUUAAAGUGGUACGCGAGCUGGGUUUAGAACGUCGUGAGACAGUUCGGUCCCUAUCUGCCGUGGGCGCUGGAGAACUGAGGGGGGCUGCUCCUAGUACGAGAGGACCGGAGUGGACGCAUCACUGGUGUUCGGGUUGUCAUGCCAAUGGCACUGCCCGGUAGCUAAAUGCGGAAGAGAUAAGUGCUGAAAGCAUCUAAGCACGAAACUUGCCCCGAGAUGAGUUCUCCCUGAGACUUAAAGUCUCCUGAAGGAACGUUGAAGACGACGACGUUGAUAGGCCGGGUGUGUAAGCGCAGCGAUGCGUUGAGCUAACCGGUACUAAUGAACCGUGAGG
rnacentral:rRNA from 1 species